rnacentral:lncRNA from 1 species
UUCUGGCCUCAGAAAAGGAGAUAUUGCCUUCGUGCUUUCUCCUAACUCUAUUCACCUUUCGGUCCUUUCUUUCUAUAUCUUCUCUCUCGGUGUCGUUACCUCUCCUAAAAAAUCAAUUAUCUUAAAACUUGAGAUUCUCCACCAAAUUCAGCUGUUGAAACCUGUACUUGUGUUCGUCACGUUGAAUGCUGCUCAUACAAUUUCUAAUCUCAAAACAAUCGUACUCGACUCUCCCGAGUUUGAAUCGCUGAUGAUGAGUCUAGUUCACUGUGGAGAAAUGGAAGGAGGGAAGGUUUACCAAUUGGACGCUGGGACAAUUCUCUAUCCUCACGACUACUGGUCGAGUUAAUGAAGUGGUUUUGGCUCAUCGAAAUUUCAGAUGCAUGGUGGCCCUAAGUCAUGCGGUUUACACGAGCUGGAUGACAGCUACAACUUUCUUUUUUUUUUGUUGCCUUAUUUUCAUGUUUAUGGUUUAUGUUAUUCCGUGAGAGGUUUAACUAUGGGAGUGGCGGUGGUGUGCAUAGGUAGAUUUGAUAUGAAGACAAUGUUGAUAGUAAUUCAGGAGUGUCAGAUAGACUGCACCGGUGGUGGUGCUGAUAACUAAGGAUCCUAGGUUGUUAGACGGCUAAGCUUUUAGCUCUCUAGAUGUUGCAGGUUGUAGCGUUGCUUCGCUUAGAAAAAGCAUAGUAGAACUGUUUCGUAAACAAUUUCGAAAUUUCACUUUAAGUGAGGUUAGUUAAACACCAAACUUGGAUUUUUACGAUUAACCGGUGGUUAAUUUCUCAUAUUGGCUAUUCAAUGUGUAGCGUAUGAUCCACCAUUAAGUAAUAAAAAAAUACAGAUGGAAUGUCACGUUAGCUACCGGCAAAUGCUCCCCCACUUUCAUUUCAAAUUUGAAUUGAAUCGCUAAAUGUUUUUAAAUCCUAACUUAUUGUACCAAGUAAAAUCAUUUUAAUUAAAAUGCAAAAAUUCAUAAAGGUUUAAAUUUUUUAUGCCAUUAUCCAAAAAUAUAUUAAAUGUCAUGAAAUACAUGAUAAUAGUUAAUUGACAAAAUGAGAGAAGCACCACGGUACUUCUCCAUUUCGGUUAGUCAAAUAACGUUAUAGGGGUGUUGGAGUUAGUUGUAUUAGAGCUAACAUUAGGCGUUUCUAGGUGUUAAGGAGAAGGAACGAGUAUAAGCAAAUGUGUAUACCUUAUAGGUUAAGGUCUUGAUAUAACUCUACUAUAGGCUUUUGUAAGUUAGCUAAGAAUGUUAUUUGACAUUCAACAUGUGUUAGAAGAUAGAGGUGAUAGUCUAAAGUCGUGAUCGCGAUAAUCUAUUCAACGCUACAAAUGUGUGUAUUGUAAGCUGCAGAUUACAUUAUGGACAUUUGAGCAUUGAGUGAAAAUUGUGUGCAUCACUUUUAAGAAUCUGCUAGGAUAUAGUAGAUGCCUUAUAUCUGAUGCAGUUGUACCAUGACAAGUUUCUAACUGCUAUGAAUUGACUUCAAAUAAAAGUUUAUAUCCUUUUAGAAUAAAAUACUAGAGAUAUUAGCAAUAAGGUAUAGAAAAAUUCUAUGAGAGCGAGAAUGUACUCAAAAAACGUAAUUGUUUUUGUGUUGUUUAUCAUUAAAAAGAGGAAUUUGAUAAAUAUUAUGAUAUAAGAGAAAUGAAAAAAAGGAGAGGUAUGAGUAGGUGAAAUAGGCUAGAAGAUGUUAGUGACCAAUUUUCUUGUUCACUUUUUACUGUGAUGAUUGUUUGAUAUCGAAACAAAGUUUUAACCUUCGAGAGAAAUAAAUUUGAAUUAUAAUAAUAACAGAUUUAGGAGUUUUAAAGAAAGUUUAAUUAUCUAAACAUUAUGUAAGAGGGGAUUGAAGAUACAAGGAGAAUACGCACAUAAAAUAAGUGAUAGUUAUGAGAUGGUAGGUGUGAUUAAGGGGUUAAUUUAUCUCAUUAAUGACAUAUUAGUUACUCUUGCUAGGAAAAAAAUAAGGAAGAUUAUAGAGUUUAUCCAACUUUUAAGAACAUGAUAUAGAUAGUGUAUGAUUUCGUAAUGUACUUUUUGAUAAAUAUUUCGAUUCAUCACUUGGAAGUGGAUAGGGUUGUCUUUAAGAUUAUAUUGAAGGUCUAUGUUUGAAAAUCAAAUUAAUAAUAACCGCAAUAGUUUAUUUUUUUUCCCUUUUUAGAAGUAUUGUUAUAUUUGAUAAGAUUAGAUAAAUUAUUUUGGGUGAUAUUAUUUGAGAUAAUAUUGUUGUUUAUUGGAAGUUUAGUUUUUAUCUAUAUUGGUGAUAUAGUUAGAUUUUAAACACUUUAAUCGGUACAAGUAAUUAUUAUUGAUAGGUUAUAUUGGUAUCUGUUUAUAUAUAAAUAUGUGUAUAUAUAUAUAUAUAUGUUUUGAAUAUUGGUAUUUAGUUUCUUAAUACGAUUGUGCAAAGUAUAGGUAUGAAAAUAUGAAAAUAUAAUUAUUUAUAUUUCCUUAGUUAUUUACUGAUUUCUAGAUAUAACCCUUAUUCCUCCAAUAGAUUGUUGAAUAAAUGAAUAAGAUUAUUUUUGUAUAGCAUAGUGUGAUAUUGUGGUUGAUUAUUAGCAAGAAUAAAUUAUGUUAGUAUAAACUUUAUGUUAUUAUCUAUUGCUAAGAGCUACGUGGACCUGAUCCUCUAUUGGAGGUACGUAGGCAGGCUUCGGGUGCGGUCCAAAUAUAACAUAUGUUAAGACUUUAAUUAGCAAAUUGUAGUGAUGUAACAUAUGCUGGACUCUAUGCUACACCUUGGAUAACCAAGGCGUGGUAUUAAUCCAUGGUUAAUUAAGAUAAAAUUCUUAAAUGGUGUAGAAAAACCUAAAACGCUCUCAUCAUCGCUAUUGCUCGCUGCCAAAUUUAUUUUUCCGACUUCGUCCUUCGCACAAAAAGUUGGCCUUCUCGCUUCACCACCAUUUUGGCCUCAGAAAAGUAGAUAUUGCCUUCGUGCUUUCACCCAACUCUAUUCACCUUUCGAUCCUUUAUUUCUAUAUCUUCUCUCUCGGUGUCGUUACCUCUCCUAAAAAAUCAAUUAUCUUUAAACUUGAGAUUCUUCACCAAAUUCAGCUGUCGAAACCUGUACUUGUGUUCGUCACCUCGAAUGCUACUCAUACAAUUCCUAAGCUCAAAACAAUCGUACUCGACUCUCCCGAGUUUGAAUUGCUGACAAUGAGCCUAGCUGGAAGGAGGGAAGGUUUACCAAUUGGACCCUGGGAUAAUUCUCUAUCCUCACGGACUACUGGUCGAGUUAAUGGAUUGGUUUUGGCUCAUCGAAAUUUCAGAUGCAUGGUGGCCCUAAGUCAUGCGGUUUACACGAGCUGGAUGGCUGCUGCAACUUUCUUUUUUUUCGGUACCUUAUUUUCAUGUUUAUGGUUUAUGUUAUUUCGUGAGAGCUUUAACUAUGGGAGUGGCGGUGGUGUCCAUAGGUAGAUUUGAUAUGAAGACAAUGUUGACAGUAAUUCAGCAGUGUAAGAUAGACUGCACCGGCUGUGGUGCUAAUAACGAAGGAUCCUAGGUUGUUAGAGGGCUAAGAUUUUAGCUCUCUAGAUGUUGUAGGCUGCAGCGUUGCUUCGCUUAGGAAAAGCGUAGUUGAACUGUUCCGUGAACAAUUUCGAAAUUUGAGUUUAAGUCAGCUUAGUUAAACACCAAACUUGGAUUUUUACCAUUAACUGGUGGUUAAUUUCUCAUAUUGGUUAUUCAAUGUGUAGCGUAUGAUCCACCAUUAAGUAAUAAAAAAAUACAGAUGGAACGUCACGUUAGCUGUCGGCAAAUGCUCCCCCGCUUUCAUUUCAAAUUUGGAUUGAAUUGCUAAAUGUUUUUAAAUCCUAACUUAUUGUACCAAGUAAAAUCAUUUUAAUUAAAAUGCAAAAAUUCAUAAAGGUUUAAAUUUUUUAUGCCAUUAUCCAAAAAUAUAUUAAAUGUCAUGAAAUACAUCAUAAUAGUUAAUUGACAAAAGGAGAGAAGCACCACGGUACUUCUCCGUUUCGGUUAGUCAAAUAACCUUAUAGGGGUGUUGGAGUUGGUUGCAUUAGAGCUAAUGUUUAGGCGUUUCUAGGUGUUAAGGAGAAGUAACAAGUAUAAGCAAAUGUGUAUACCUUAUAGGUUAAGGUCUGGAUAUAACUCUACUAUAGGCUUUAGUAACUUGGCUAAGAAUGUUAUUUGACAUUCAACAUGUGUUAGAAGAUACAGGUGAUAGUCUAAAGUCGUGAUUGCGAUAAUCUAUUCAAUGCUACAAAUGUUUGUAUUGUAAGCUGCAGAUUACAUUAUGGACAUUGGAGCAUUAAGUGGAAAUUGUGUGCAUCACUUUUAGGAAUCUGCUAGGAUAUAGUAGAUGCCUUAUAUCUGAUGCAGUUGUACCGUGACAGAAGAUACCAGGAGAAUACGCACAUAAAAUAAGUGAUAGUUAUGAGAUGGUAGGUGUGAUUAAGGGGUUAAUUUAUCUCAUUAAUGAGAUAUUAGUUAGUCUUGCUAUGAAAAAAAUAAGGAAGAUUGUAGAGUUUAUCCAACUUUUAAGAACAUGACACAGAUAGUGUAUGAUUUCGUAAUGUACUUUUUGAUAAAUAUUUUGAUUCAUCACUUGGAAGUGGAUAGGGUUGCCUUUAAGAUUAUAUUGAAGGUCUAUGUUUAAAAACCGAAUUAAUCACUGCAAUAGUUUAUUCUUUUUCCCUUUUUAGAAGCAUUAUUAUAUUUGAUAAGAUUAGAUAAAUUAUUUUGGCGGAAUUGAUAUUAUUUGAGAUAAUAUUGUUGUUUAUNNNNNNNNNNNNNNNNNNNNNNNNNNNNNNNNNNNNNNNNNNNNNNNNNNNNNNNNNNNNNNNNNNNNNNNNNNNNNNNNNNNNNNNNNNNNNNNNNNNNNNNNNNNNNNNNNNNNNNNNNNNNNNNNNNNNNNNNNNNNNNNNNNNNNNNNAAUUAUUUAUGUUUCCUUAGUUAUUUACUGGAUUCCAGAUAUAACUCUUAUUCCUCCAAUAGAUUGUUGAAUAAAUGAAUAAGAUUAUUUUUGUAUAGCAUAGUGUGAUAUUGUGGUUGAUUAUUAGCAAGAAUAAAUUAUGUUAGUAUAAACUUUAUGUUAUUAUCUAUUGUUAAGAGCUACGUCGACCUGAUCCUCUAUUGGAGGUACGUAGGCAGGCUUCGGGUGCGAUCCAAAUAUAACAUAUGUUAAGACUUUAAUUAGCAAAUAGUAGCGAUGUAAAUUCAAGCCAUAUUAACAGAUUUUCAUGUUGAAUAAAUUACUUAUUGGAAAUUUAAUAAGUUUAAUAUGACUAAAAUAAUUAUCAUACAUAUAAUUAUAUUUAUAAGAGUAUAGAUAAAAAUAAAGUCACAAAAGAAAUCACUGAAUUAGAUAAGAUAUAGGAGAACAAUUUUCAUAAAGAGACCAUGAGUGAAUUACACCCUUAAUAUUGCCAAAACAUGACUAUAACUUAGGAUAGAAGCAUACAGAAGUACCUAAAAUGAAUAACUUGGAAAGCUUGUCAAAGGAACGAAAAUUGGCAUGCGAAUAGGUGCAAUUUGUGAUAUAGAACAGCAAUUGAAAGGCAGUGUCACAAUCUAGAUAUAAAACGUAAGUUGGCAUUUGAAAGGCAGUGUCGUGGUUCAGUUAUAAGGCAUAGACGAAGUGUCGCACCUACCCCAAAUCCUCAUUUACUAGCAAACUAAAUGAAAUUGUUUCUUGAAAAAAUAAAGAAUAAUGGCAUAAAAAUCCAAAAUUUUAUUUCUUGGCACAAUAAAUUUGGAUUUAAAAAUAUUUGGCGAUUCUUUCCAGAUUUGAAUUGAAAGUGGGGGAGUAUCUGUCGGUAGCAGGCCAUAUUGUAUUUUUAUAUUACUUGAUGCUGGACUCUACGCUACACCAUGGAUAACCAAGGCGAGGUAUUAAUCGUUGGUUAAAUAAGGUAAAAUUCUUAAAUGGUGUAGAAAAACCUAAAACGCUCUUAUCGACGCCGUCGCUCGCUGCCGAAUUUAUUUUCCCGACUUCGUCCUUCGCACAAAAAGUUGGCCUUCUCGCUUCACCACCAUUUUGGCCUCAGAAAAGGAGAUAUUGCCUUCGUGCUUUCUCCUAACUCUAUUCAGCUUUCGGUCCUUUAUUUCUAUAUCUUCGCUCUCGGUGUCGUUACCUCUCCUAAAAAAUCAAGUGUCUUUAAACUUGAGAUUCUCCACCAAAUUCAGCUAUCGAAACAUGUACUUGUGUUCGUCACGUUGAAUGCUACUCAUACAAUUCCUAAUCUCAAAACAAUCGUACUCGACUCUUCCGAGUUUGAAUCGCUGAUGAUGAGUCUAGCUAACUGUGGAGAAAUGGAAGGAGGGAAGGUUUACCAAUUGGACCCUGGGACAAUUCUCUAUCCUCACGGACUACUGGUCGAGUUAAUGGAUUGGUUUUGGCUCAUCGAAAUUUCAGAUGCAUGGUGGCCCUAAGCCAUGCGGUUUACAUGAGCUGGAUGGCUGCUGCAACUUUCUUUUUUUUUGGUGCCUUAUUUUCAUGUUUAUGGUUUAUGUUAUUUCGUGAGAGCUUUAACUAUGGGAGUGGCGGUGGUGUCCAUAGGUAGAUUUGAUAUGAAGACAAUGUUGACAGUAAUUCAGCAGUGUAAGAUAGACUGCACCGGCUGUGGUGCUAAUAACGAAGGAUCCUAGGUUGUUAGAUGACUAAGAUUUUAGCUCUCUAGAUGUUGUAGGCUGCAGAGUUGCUUCGCUUAGGAAAAGCGUAGUUGAACUGUUUCGUGAACAAUUUCGAAAUUUGAGUUUAAGUCAACUUAGUUAAACACCAAACUUGGAUUUUUACCAUUAACCGGUGGUUAAUUUCUCAUAUUGGUUAUUCAAUGUGUAGCGUAUGAUCCACCAUUAAGUAAUAAAAAAAUACGGAUGGAACGUCACGUUAGCUGUCGGCAAAUGCUCCCCCGCUUUCAUUUCAAAUUUGGAUUGAAUUGCUAAAUGUUUUUAAAUCCUAACUUAUUGUACCAAGUAAAAUCAUUUUAAUUAAAAUGUAAAAAUUCAUAAAGGUUUAAAUUUUUUAUGCCAUUAUCCAAAAAUAUAUUAAAUGUCAUGAAAUACAUCAUAAUAGUUAAUUGACAAAAGGAGAGAAGCACCACGGUACUUCUCCGUUUCGGUUAGUCAAAUAACCUUAUAGGGGUGUUGGAGUUGGUGGUAUUAGAGCUAACGUUUAGGCCUUUCUAGGUGUUAAGGAGAAGUAACAAGUAUAAGCAAAUGUGUAUACCUUAUAGGUUAAGGUCUGGAUAUAACUCUACUAUAGGCUUUAGUAACUUGGCUAAGAAUGUUAUUUGACAUUCAACAUGUGUUAGAAGAUACAGGUGAUAGUCUAAAGUCGUGAUCGCGAUAAUCUAUUCAAUGCUACAAAUGUUUGUAUUGUAAGCUGCAGAUUACAUUAUGGACAUUGGAGCAUUGAGUGGAAAUUGUGUACAUCACUUUUAGGAAUCUGCUAGGAUAUAGUAGAUGCCUUAUAUCUGAUGCAGUUGUACCGUGACUGAAGAUACCAGGAGAAUAUGCACAUAAAAUAAAUGAUAGUUAUGAGAUGGUAGGUGUGAUUAAGGGGUUAAUUUAUCUCAUUAAUGAGAUAUUAGUUAGUCUUGCUAGGAAAAAAAGAAGGAAGAUUGUAGAGUUUAUCCAACUUUUAAGAACAUGACACAAAUAGUGUAUGAUUUCGUAAUGUACUUUUUGAUAAAUAUUUCGAUUCAUCACUUGGAAGUGGAUAGGGUUGCCUUUAAGAUUAUAUUGAAGGUCUAUGUUUAAAAACCGAAUUAAUCACUGCAAUAGUUUAUUCUUUUUCCCUUUUUAGAAGCAUUAUUAUAUUUGAUAAGAUUAGAUAAAUUAUUUUGGCGGAAUUGAUAUUAUUUGAGAUAAUAUUGUUGUUUAUUGGAAGUUUAGUUUUUAUCUAUAUUGAUGAUAUAGUUAGAUUUUAAACACUUUAAUCGGUACAAGUAAUUAUUAUUUAUAGGUUAUAUUGAUAUCUGUUUACUUAUAAAUAUGUGUAUAUAUAUAUAUAUAUGUUUUGAAUAUUGGUAUUUAGUUUCUUAAUACGUUGUGCAAAGUAUAGCUAUGAAAAUAUGAAAAUAUAAUUAUUUAUGUUUCCUUAGUUAUUUACUGGAUUCCAUGUAUAACUCUUAUUCCUCCAAUAGAUUGUUGAAUAAAUGAAUAAGACUAUUUUUGUAUAGCAUAGUUUGAUAUUGUGGUUGAUUAUUAGCAAGAAUAAAUUAUGUUAGUAUAAACUUUAUUUUAUUAUCUAUUGUUAAGAGCUACGUGGACCUGAUCCUCUAUUGGAGAUACGUAGGCAGGCUUCGGGUGCGGUCCAAAUAUAACAUAUGUUAAGACUUUAAUUAGCAAAUAGUAGCGAUGUAAAUUCAAGCCAUAUUAACAGAUUUUCAUGUUGAAUAAAUUACUUAUUGGAAAUUUAAUAAGUUUAAUAUGACUAAAAUAAUUAACAUACAUAUAAUUAUAUUUAUAAGAGUAUAGAUAAAAAUAAAGCCACAAAAGAAAUCACUGAAUUAGAUAAGAUGUAGGAGAACAAUUUUCAUAAAGAGACCAUGAGUGAAUUAGACCCUUAAUAUUGCCAAAACAUGACUAUAACUUAGGAUAGAAGCAUACAGAAGUACCUAAAAUGAAUAACUUGGAAAGCUUGUCAAAGGAACGAAAAUUGGCAUGCGAAUAGGUGCAAUUUGUGAUAUAGAACAGCAAUUGAAAGGCAGUGUCACAAUCUAAAUAUAAAACGUAAGUUGGCAUUUGAAAGGCAGUGUCGUGGUUCAGUUAUAAGGCAUAGACGAAGUGUCGCACCUAUCCCAAAUCCCCAUUUACUAGCAAACUAAAUGAAAUUGUUUUUUGAAAAAAUAAAGAAUAAUGGCAUAAAAAUCCAAAAUUUUAUUUCUUGGCACAAUAAAUUAGGAUUUAAAAAUAUUUGGCGAUUCUUUCCAAAUUUGAAUUGGAAGUGGGGGAGUAUCUGUCAGUAGCAGGCCAUAUUGUAUUUUUAUAUUACUUGAUGCUGGACUCUACGCUACACCAUGGAUAACCAAGGCGAGGUAUUAAUCGUUGGUUAAUUAAGGUAAAAUUCUUAAAUGGUGUAGAAAAACCUAAAACGCUCUCAUCGACGCCGUCGCUCGCUGCCGAAUUUAUUUUCCCGACUUCAUCCUUCGCACAAAAAGUUGGCCUUCUCGCUUCACCACCAUUUUGGCCUCAAAAAAGGAGAUAUUGCCUUCGUGCUUUCUCCUAACUCUAUUCAGAUUUCGGUCCUUUAUUUCUAUAUCUUCGCUCUCGGUGUCGUUACCUCUCCUAAAAAAUCAAGUGUCUUUAAACUUGAAAUUCUCCACCAAAUUCAGCUGUCGAAACCUGUACUUGUGUUCGUCACGUCGAAUGCUGCUCAUACAAUUCCUAAUCUCAAAACAAUCGUACUCGACUCUCCCGAGUUUGAAUCGCUGAUGAUGAGUCUAGCUCACUGUGGAGAAAUGGAAGGAGGGAAGGUUUACCAAUUGGACCCUGUGACAAUUCUCUAUCCUCACGGACUACUGGUCGAGUUAAUGGAUUGGUUUUGGCUCAUCGAAAUUUCAGAUGCAUGGUG